rnacentral:misc_RNA from 1 species
GAUGAAGAACGCAGCGAAAUGCGAUAAGUAAUGUGAAUUGCAGAAUUCAGUGAAUCAUCGAAUCUUUGAACGCACAUUGCGCCCGCCAGUAUUCUGGCGGGCAUGCCUGUUCGAGCGUCAUUUCAACCAUCAAGCCCCCGGGCUUGUGUUGGGGACCUGCGGCUGCCGCAGGCCCUGAAAAGCAGUGGCGGGCUCGCUGUCACACCGAGCGUAGUAGAUUUUAUCUCGCUCUGGGCGUGCUGCGGGUUCCGGCCGUUAAACCACCCUUUUAACCCAAGUUUGACCUCGGAUCAGGUAGGAAGACCCGCUGAACUUAAGCAUAUCAAUAAGCGGAGA